UAAGGAAUAUUGGUCAAUGGACGCAAGUCUGAACCAGCCAUGCCGCGUGAAGGAUGAAGGCCCUCUGGGUUGUAAACUUCUUUUAUAGGGGACGAAAAAAGGGAAUUCUUUCUCACUUGACGGUACCCUAGGAAUAAGCACCGGCUAACUCCGUGCCAGCAGCCGCGGUAAUACGGAGGGUGCAAGCGUUAUCCGGAUUCACUGGGUUUAAAGGGUGCGUAGGUGGGCAGGUAAGUCAGUGGUGAAAUCUCCGGGCUUAACCCGGAAACUGCCGUUGAUACUAUCUGUCUUGAAUAUCCUGGAGGUGAACGGAAUAUGUCAUGUAGCGGUGAAAUGCUUAGAUAUGACAUAGAACACCAAUUGCGAAGGCAGUUCACUACGGGAUCAUUGACACUGAGGCACGAAAGCGUGGGGAUCAAACAGGAUUAGAUACCCCUGUAGUCC
rnacentral:rRNA from 1 species